rnacentral:rRNA from 1 species
GAUGAACGCUGGCGGCGUGCCUAAUACAUGCAAGUCGAGCGAACAGAUAAGGAGCUUGCUCCUUUGACGUUAGCGGCGGACGGGUGAGUAACACGUGGGUAACCUACCUAUAAGACUGGGAUAACUUCGGGAAACCGGAGCUAAUACCGGAUAAUAUUUCGAACCGCAUGGUUCGAUAGUGAAAGAUGGCCCUGCUAUCACUUAUAGAUGGACCUGCGCCGUAUUAGCUAGUUGGUAAGGUAACGGCUUACCAAGGCAACGAUACGUAGCCGACCUGAGAGGGUGAUCGGCCACACUGGAACUGGGACACGGUCCAGACUCCUACGGGAGGCAGCAGUAGGGAAUCUUCCGCAAUGGGCGAAAGCCUGACGGAGCAACGCCGCGUGAGUGAUGAAGGUCUUCGGAUCGUAAAACUCUGUUAUUAGGGAAGAACAAACGUGUAAGUAACUGUGCACGUCUUGACGGUACCUAAUCAGAAAGCCACGGCUAACUACGUGCCAGCAGCCGCGGUAAUACGUAGGUGGCAAGCGUUAUCCGGAAUUAUUGGGCGUAAAGCGCGCGUAGGCGGUUUUUUAAGUCUGAUGUGAAAGCCCACGGCUCAACCGUGGAGGGUCAUUGGAAACUGGAAAACUUGAGUGCAGAAGAGGAAAGUGGAAUUCCAUGUGUAGCGGUGAAAUGCGCAGAGAUAUGGAGGAACACCAGUGGCGAAGGCGACUUUCUGGUCUGUAACUGACGCUGAUGUGCGAAAGCGUGGGGAUCAAACAGGAUUAGAUACCCUGGUAGUCCACGCCGUAAACGAUGAGUGCUAAGUGUUAGGGGGUUUCCGCCCCUUAGUGCUGCAGCUAACGCAUUAAGCACUCCGCCUGGGGAGUACGACCGCAAGGUUGAAACUCAAAGGAAUUGACGGGGACCCGCACAAGCGGUGGAGCAUGUGGUUUAAUUCGAAGCAACGCGAAGAACCUUACCAAAUCUUGACAUCCUUUGACCCUUCUAGAGAUAGAAGUUUCCCCUUCGGGGGACAAAGUGACAGGUGGUGCAUGGUUGUCGUCAGCUCGUGUCGUGAGAUGUUGGGUUAAGUCCCGCAACGAGCGCAACCCUUAAGCUUAGUUGCCAUCAUUAAGUUGGGCACUCUAAGUUGACUGCCGGUGACAAACCGGAGGAAGGUGGGGAUGACGUCAAAUCAUCAUGCCCCUUAUGAUUUGGGCUACACACGUGCUACAAUGGACAAUACAAAGGGCAGCGAAACCGCGAGGUCAAGCAAAUCCCAUAAAGUUGUUCUCAGUUCGGAUUGUAGUCUGCAACUCGACUACAUGAAGCUGGAAUCGCUAGUAAUCGUAGAUCAGCAUGCUACGGUGAAUACGUUCCCGGGUCU